rnacentral:rRNA from 1 species
UACGGAGGAGGCAAGCGUUAUCCGGAAUUAUUGGGCGUAAAGGGUGCGUAGGUGGGCAAGUAAGUCAGUGGUGAAAUCUCCGGGCUUAACCCGGAAACUGCCAUUGAUACUAUUUGUCUUGAAUACUGUGGAGGUCAGCGGAAUAUGUCAUGUAGCGGUGAAAUGCUUAGAUAUGACAUAGAACACCAAUUGCGAAGGCAGCUGGCUACACAAAUAUUGACACUGAGGCACGAAAGCGUGGGGAUCAAACAGG